GAUGAAGAACGUAGCGAAAUGCGAUAAGUAAUGUGAAUUGCAGAAUUCAGUGAAUCAUCGAAUCUUUGAACGCACCUUGCACCCUUUGGACUGCUCCAAAGGGUAUGCUCGUUUGAGUGUCAUUGUACUCUCACACUCUCUGAUCCUUUGGAUUUGGGGAGCAGUGGACUUGGGUGCUUGCUGCUUCCUUGUGGCUCACCUGAAAUGCAUCAGUGCAUCUCUCGAUUGGACAUAGUACGGCGUGAUAAGUGUCUUCGCCGGCACCUCAUAUGAGGGUGGCCGAUUGGGAGCUCUGUGCUUUCAAACCGUCUUCGGACAACGCUGACAACUUGACCUCAAAUCGAGUAGGACUACCCGCUGAACUUAAGCAUAUCAAUAAGCGGAGGA
rnacentral:misc_RNA from 1 species